rnacentral:rRNA from 1 species
UAGGGAAUCUUCGGCAAUGGACGAAAGUCUGACCGAGCAACGCCGCGUGAGUGAAGAAGGUUUUCGGAUCGUAAACCUCUGUUGUUAGAGAAGAACGUUGCAUAGAGUGGAAAAUUAUGCAAGUGACGGUAUCUAACCAGAAAGGGACGGCUAACUACGUGCCAGCAGCCGCGGUAAUACGUAGGUCCCGAGCGUUGUCCGGAUUUAUUGGGCGUAAAGCGAGCGCAGGUGGUUUAAUAAGUCUGAUGUAAAAAGGCAGUGGCUCAACCAUUGUGUGCAUUGGAAACUGUUAGACUUGAGUGCAGUAGAGGAGAGUGGAAUUCCAUGUGUAGCGGUGAAAUGCGUAGAUAUAUGGAGGAACACCGGUGGCGAAAGCGGCUCUCUGGACUGUCACUGACACUGAGGCUCGAAAGCGUGGGUAGCAAACAGGAUUAGAUACCCUGGUAGUCCACGCCGUAAACGAUGGGUGCUAGUUGUUUGGGGCUAUCCAGCCUAA